UCAUUCGGGCUGACAGCGGCAUUUAUGAGAGCAAAUGUCUGUCCCUGCGCAAUUUCUGUGGGGAUAGUUGCAGUCAGGUCUACAGGAUUUGCUUAAAAAUUUCCAAGACCUGGGUGUGUCUGACAGCCUGGACCUCAACCUCAAAAAGGAACUAGCUCCUCUCUGAUUUCCUUGGGACACCUGGGAGCAAGCACAGGAGCCCAUGGAGCCACGGAGAGUGUCACUUCAAGCGCCUCCUGGGAGCUCUUGCAGAUGCCAAGUGCUCUGCCCUUCCCCAUUACCUGUGAUUUCAAGUGGGCUUAGAGAUUCUCCAAGAUGUGAGAUGAAAGGCCAAGAAACUAAUUCCUCUGACUUCUUCAGAGAACCGCACAGUCUCUUGAGAUGAAGCCCUGUGGAUUCUACCUCUGGAUCAUCUCAUCCAAAAUGCCACCCGUCAGUUUCCACUGGUCCUCCUUGGUUCAAGGCGUCCUCAUCUUCACCCUCCACUGAAGCAACAACUCCUCACGGAUCUUCCUGCUUCCAAUCUUGCCUUUCUCUUUUCUCUCUUACCCAAACCCAUAGGCAUGUCCUCUUCAGAUCAUGAAUAAUAUUCCUAAAACACAAACAGGAUCAGAUUCCCCCCUUGUAAAAUUCCUUCAGUGGAUGUCUUCUAACUUCAAGGGAAAGGCUAGGACCCUUGGAUCUUCCAAAUCCAGACCAGGCUGACUGCUCUAGCCUUCUUCCAACAUCCACGACACCCAUUUUGCACCCAAUGCUCUAGGCACUGGGAGCUACUCACAGUUCCCCUGACCUGACAAACUGUUCAGACAUCCACACAUUUCCUAGUGCUGUCUGCACCUGCAUAAAUUGCCCUCUGCUUUCCUCAUGUCCCCUCUACUGUUAAAACCUGCUCAUCUCUUAUUACUCAGCUCCACUGUUCUCUUCUCGCUCUACAGAAAAGGUUCCAGGCUCCAGUUAUGACUCUCCUCUAUGUCCCAAUCAGAACACAUUCGGUUCCCAUUAGAGUCUCUAGGACAAUCUAAUCUUGCAUUACCUUUUCCUCUAUAGGACCACAGCUUGUUGAAGAAAAUGAACAGUCUCCCUGGUACCAUUUGUUUUUGUAUCCCCAGCAUCUAUGGCAUUGAGUACAUAGAAUCCUUGGGAUGACCAGCAAUUGAGCUGUGGGCAGAACAAGAACAAUCAGCAAAGGAGACUGAGAAGCACCAGCCAGAGAAGCAGGAGGAGAACCGGUAGAGAGACAGCUACUGCAGCCACCAAAGGGAGAAAUGUAGGCAUCUGGUUGGGUUGGGCUAGAUUUUUUAGGUCUGCAUGAGGCCUCAGGAUGACCCUGUGAGAGCACCCCAAGUCACCCAGGAGAGCCAGCAGAGCAUCUGUGUAUGACAUAUGACCCCCCUACCACCACCCUUGACUGUUCAAACUGGAGAAGGGCUGAAAACACGUGGGCAGCCAAGCACCUUUUAUGGGUUUCUGGAAGGUCAUCUCAGCCACAGCAUCAAGUACACCACGUGAUGCUCACUCACAGUAUGAGCCCCCAUGAGGAAAGCAAUGACCCCAACACUGAGAGCAUGGUAGGGUCCCAUCUGCUCCCACAUGGCAGACAGGCCCCGAGGAAUGAGCAUGACUGGGUCUGCCAACCAGAUGCAGAUGCAGGGUGGUAUGGUUGAAUCAGGCAGAUGGCUGUAGGAUCAAUUCUCCAUCUCACCAUUUUUUUGUUGGGUAAUUCUGAUUAAGUUAGUGAACUUCCUUAGCUUGCUUUGUACCAUGGAGACAAAACAUCCACCUCACACAAUUGCUAGAGCAUGCAGGCGAGGAAGGACUUGACAUCUAUUGUAGCUGAUAAUAAAGACACACUAGUGCUCUCUUCUUGUGCAUGUUCUUAGUCUUACAGAUGUAUGCUGAUUUUGAAUAUAAAACCUAUAUAGUUGAUGUUUACUUUUUGGAUAUCAUAAUGACCCUAGAGCCCACAGGAUAUAUGAUAUGAACAUUCAUUCCUUCAGCUAAUAUUUAUUGAGCAUCUGUGCUAAGUACUGGGAAGGCAAUAGUGAUUAUCCAAAGGUCACAUUUUCCUGUGUGUUGAAGGUGCUUCAUUGAGGAAGACAAAUGUGUGAGCUUCUAGGCAGGAGAAGUGACAUUCACAAAGACACAUACUGUGUAUAAUUGGAGGGUUAGAAGAUGGCAGAGAUGAGAGAUAGCAGGGAAGUUGCACAAGGGCCGGGGAAUGGACCACAGAGAGUGUUGAAUGCCACCCUCAAGAUAGCAGCCCCUGUGGGCCAUGGGCAGGACAGUGACAACUGACUGCUUCCCUUCCCUCUCUUUUUUUCUUUUUUUGUCUACUUUUAGUGUUUAAAAUUUCAAUUAAUUAAUGAAUCAAAGUUGGCAACAAAAGAUUUUGCUACAUUUGCCUGUCCCGAUUCUUGACAAUUCUCUCUGAGGAGGAGCACUGGGAUACUCGUACUGUCUGGCAUCUAUUAGGUAUUGUUUAAUAUCUGUUCAAAUGAACAAAAUGUACUUGUAUUGAGUUGAACCAAAGUGAAGCCCUUUGGGACAACUUUGGAGCAAUAGUGGAUUAUAUUAUUCUGGAUGACUUAUGAAAAAUAUUUACCCUUAAUCAGUCUUAGAUGAACUGAAAAUUAUUCAUAUUCAGUUCAGUUAAUGGUGGUUAUUUAGCUAAGUCUUGAUUACGUAUAACGGACAGGAGCUAGUCAACAGAUAACGACGUGGCCCUGGGUUCCCUCUGCCCUGGCCUGAACAUCCUUUUUAUGAAAGGACACUUUCCUGUUUGUACAGCAGCCAAAGACUCACAUGUGAAUUCUUUAUACACACUGCAAGCAAUCCAAGCAUCUGACUUCCAUUCUUCACUCACAGCUGGGAGCAAGUGCGAGAAAUCAGUGGAAAGCUGGAGGUUUGUUAACAGGGGGUUUAUUUUGGCACUCAGUUGCAAUUAAAUCCGGUGGGUUAAAAGCUUCUGAAUGUAUUACCCUCUUUUAAACAAGCCACUUUUAGAGUGUUUCCACAAUGAACAAUAUUCAUCACCAAUGUUAUAUAUGGCUGACUUUCACUCUCAAAUAAUACCUUCUUUCCUUGGAAGGAAAAACAACUUUCCCAUCCUUAUAAUUGAAUCCAAACAUCUGUCACCCACAAAGACAUGGUUUUAGAGGUUGAUUAAUGGAUAUCUGGCUCACGGAGUACACAGAACCACACUCAUUUGCAACAAAUUUACACCAACACCCACACACGCUUAGGCACAUACACCAAUACGCAUGCCCCAAAUGCGUUCCUCCAAAAAACAUGUUUCCAUUAUCAUUUCUUUUAAUACAAUUAAGACAACAAUAAAGAAAGAGAUGUAGGCAGAAUAGUAAAAAAGCAAUGACUAGGAGUCCAGAGACCUCAGGUCUGAUCAUGACCUUUGACGAGUAACAUAAUCUCUCCAGCUCUCAAUUUCCACACAUGAAAAAUAUGAAUGAUGAAACCACCUCCAUCAUUUAACGCUUAUAACCCACCCACGACCUGACAUGUUCAUGCAUUUGUGCCUUCGUGUGAGAGUUCCUCUGCCAACUGUGUUCCACGAGACCUUCAUCAUCUUUCAGAACUCAACAGAUAUACCACCUCCCCAAAGAAUCCCUCCCUGGUUCCCCCAAGCAGAAUCAGCAGCUCAUUCUCAAUCAUUCCAGAAACCUUGCAUGCAAUCAGUUUUGUUGCAGCUUUCAUUGCAUAGUACAGCAACCACCUCACCUAAACUAUUAACCCACAGAGAACAGAGCAGGUCUGAUUGUUUUCGUUUCCCUGGUGGAGAGAAAAGGAAUAGCACAUGAAGUUCUAAUAAAAAGUUGAAGGGAAAAAACAAUUGAAUGAGUCAUUACUUGAAUGACACAAUAUCCUCAUAUGGCAUAAGAAAAGCUCCCACCUGGCCUGCAGUCUCUUCCCCUCUGCAACACUGAGAUCUCGGUCUUGCUGAAAUCUGGUACUAGUCCCAUCAUGUUCUUGGCCCAUCACCUUCAGGAUACAGUCCAGAUUCCUCAUCAAGGCAACCUGUUUCUCUGUCUUCAUGACUGAGUUGCCACCUCUCCUGCUGCUCUCCUCCCAUCCCCCACCACCUGCUAUGUUCUAGGAUACUCAGCCAAGGUUCCUGACACACCAUGCUCUGUCUUACCUCUGGGUCUAUCCCUCUCUCCUACAAUCCCAUCCACCUUCCUCACUUAGCCAAUCCCUACCUGUCUCCCAGACUUACCUAAGAUGAUUUUUCCUCCAGGAAGCCUUCCAGGGUCCCAGAAUCCUCUUAUUCUCUGCCUGCCAGAAUGCCAUGGUUGUCUCUAAUAGGACCAUCUGUUUGAGGGUCUGUGGGCUCCUUGAAGACAGAAACUGGGAACUGCUCACCUCUAUCCCCUGCCCCAUGCCUGAUGCUGACUGGCCACUCAGUAAGCAUGUCUUGCUGUGAGUGGGUGGGCAGAUGAAUGAAGAGUCCAAGGUGAUCAGAAGAGGGUCAGAUUCUAUAGGGCAACUCUAAAGCAUGUGCAUGUCACACCACCAGCUGAGGGUUUCCUUCUUGCCCUUUGAGGAAGGUUAUUUUCUUCUAGACCUUAACCAGCUUCUGAGAAAAGCAUUCUUAAAAUCUCCCAUUGUAGCUAUUAGUUUUUCAAAUUCUCCUUGUAAUUCAUUGUAUGUGUCUGUGCACAUAUGCCUAUAUUUAUAUGGUUAUGUGUGCACAGACACAUACACAUAGUCACAUAUAUAUGUAUGUACUUAUAAGUACACAUUCAGUAAAUACACAUCGAAGCUGUGUUGCUAGGUGUCUGCAAGUUUUUGAUUAUCUUAACUCUGCAGUAGAGCCAGACUUUGCUUAGAUUAUUUCUUUUUAUCCCCUCCCCUCCCUCAGCACACACACUUUUAUUUUCAAACUUUGUGUUUAGUUUUAUUUGGUUAACUCUUUUGUAGGCAGCUUAUACUAAAAUUUUAAAAAUUGAAUUUGAUUGUGUUUUCUAGUGAGAUAAUGUAAUUCAUUUAGGUUUACUAUUAUUUCUGCUUUUUAAUGUGUUCCAUUUCUUGUGCUUUUUUCUUUUUUUGCUGCCUUUUUCUACUUUCUUUUCUUCCUUCUGCUGGAUUAAUAAUGCUAGAUGUCUUCCUUUUUCCUAUUAUUUGCUUUGGAAGUUGGAGAUUCUAUUACAAUUGGGUGGAAUGGAUUGUCCUCUAGGAUUUUCACUUUACAAAAUCACAUUUAUAUUUUCAAGCAGUAUCCAAAAUUAUUCAGUAUAUCUGUCUUCAUUCCAAAUAUGACACUGCUGUUAGCAUGCUUCAAAUGCCCUUCACACACCCCUGCUCCAUUAUCUGUGUUAUUGCUCUAUAACUUUAGUUCCAUAUUUAUUUUUUCUAUCAAGAAUUCAUUGCAUCUACCAACAUAGUUUACCAAUUUCUUUAAUCAUCAUUUCUUCUUUUAUUCUACUCCUCUGAAUUUAGUUUCCUUCUUGCUAAAAUUUAUCUUUUAAUAGUUCUUUCAGUGGAAGUAUAAACUCUCUUAUUCUUGUAUGUCUGAAAAUGCCCUUAAUUCAGAUACUCUGGAAUGACAGUUAACUGGGUGCAGAAUUUAGACUCACAGCUCCUUUGAAGAUGACUUUCCAUUUUCUCCUCACCCCUAUUGUGGCUGAUUGGAAGUCUGCUGUCAGUCUGGGUAUAAUUCUUUUCUAGAAGUCUUAGUCUGUUUAGGCUACUAUAACAAAAUCUUACAGGCUGGGUGGCUUAUAAACAACAGAAAUUUAUUUCUCACAGCUAUGGAGGCUGUGAAGUCCAAGAUCAAGGCUAUGGCAGAUUCAGUGUCUAGUAAAAGCCUGUUUCCAGGUUCAUAGAUGGCACCUUCUCACUGUGUUCUCAUGUAGUGUGUCAAGGAAUCUUUUUGGGGUUUACUUUAUAAAAGCAUUAUGGGCUGGGCAUGGUGACUCAUACCUAUAAUCUCAGCAUUUUGGGAGGCUGAGGCAGGCAGAUUACGUGUGGUCAGGAGUUUGAGACCAGCCUGGGUGACACGGUGAAACCCCAUCUCUACUACAAACAUAAAAAUUAGCCAGGCAUGGUGGCACUCACCUGUAAUCCCAGCUACUCAGGAGGCUGAGGCAUGAGAAUAACUUGAGCCUGGAAGGCAAAGGUUGCAGUGAGCCAAGAUCGUAUCACCAGUUGCCAUGAAGUGAAGUGUGUGAUUAACCUUGUAUACAAGGUCCCUCACUUGUUUUAUCUAUGUGUUUAUUUUAUUUUACCAUGAUUUAUUUAUCUCCCCUCUCCCACAGAAGAACCACUCCUGUGUAUUUAAUGUGUAUUAUUUUGUUCAUAUGUGAUAUUAAAACAUGUAUUGUUUUCUGAACAUGUAUUUUUAAUUUAUGGAAACAAUCAUAUGUUAUAUAUGUCACACUGUAUUUUGUAAGAGCCACACAUAUUGUUGUGUGCACAUCAAGUUCAUUACUUCCAAUUGCUGCAUAUUAAUGCUUGGUGUACUCCAACCAAGUGUUACCAAUUCAUUUCCCAGUGAUAGCAGCCAAUCUUCUCUAUCUCCUUGACACUACAGAUAAAUCCCACUUGUAUUUGUCCUCUUACUGGAUGGUGAACAUUUCUUUGAGAUAUCCCUAUUCCUACUUCUAUACAGAUAUCUAUCUAUCCAUCUCUCUCUCUCUGUCUCUGUCUCUGUCUCUCUCUCUGUAUCCAUCUAUGUCAUCUACCUAUCUCCAGGAACAUACCUAAAUUAACUAGUGCAAGAUUGCCUUUCAGAAUACUAAUAGCUUUUACUUCCACUAGCUAUGUGUGAGGUUCCUAUAUCCUUAUAUCCUAAUGAACAUUUGAUCCUAAUCAACAUUUGGCUUUAUCCAAUUUUUUUAAUAGUCUUUGCUUGCUAUAUAUCUCUGUGUGGAAUUAUGCAUAAAUUUUCCAAUGUUAUUUUCCAUUUUAUUAAUUGUGUCUUUUACUGUGUCCAGUUUAUUUUCAUCUCAUCUACUGAACUUUCAGUCUUUCAUUUUAAAGAUUAUAUUUUUCAUUUCAUGGGCUUAUUAUUUUUUCCAUAUUACCUGGUUUUUUAUUCAUAUUCACCAAUUUUUGUUUUAUAAUCAACUGGCAUUUUGAUUGAUAGUAUUUCUUUCAUUAUUUCUUGGAGAACUGCUUAACAUCUUCAUUUUUAAAUCCAACUUAAAUUGUAAGCCAUUCUUCCCCAGCCCCAUAUUCUGAAUUGACUUGACUUUGCUUCAUUUUUUUUCUAUAGCACUUACUAAUUCCUAGUGUACUAUAUAAGUCAGUUUGGCUAUCUCCUUCCCCUGAUCCAGGCAGGGACUUCUGUCUGCUUGUCCAUGCAUCUCUGGUACCUACAACAGUACCGGGCACUGUAAAUGUGUAGCUUCCCAACACACUCGUUGAAUUGAUCAGUGAAUGGAUUGGUCUAUGUUAUCUUCAUUUCCUCUGAGUGAAUCCUUUGGUUGUUUUGUUUGUUGGAUGAUUGUUAUAGUGGCAGCUUUCCUCAUGUGCUACAAAUUUCCUACUGUGCCCAUGGAGUGGUAUUGGUUUUUGUUUUAGUUGCCUUUUCCUGUCCCUUCAUUCACUUCUCCUGCCUGGUAGUUUUGCUGUUGCCUUUACCCAACCCCUGGGUUUUCUGCACUAUCAACGCUCUCAUAUUUGUGGCCCACGGUUUGCACCCAUAGAGAUAUCACUGAUCCUGUGCCCAGGCCAAAGCACAGCUUGUCAUGGCUCCCAGAGGAUGAAUGGAUACCACCUUUCCCUCCCGCUACCCCAGGGAAAUGUUCAUCACCAUCUGCAGCCACAGGAAAACCAUCCCAGGCUUGAUUUCGUGUCUGUGUGCCCAGAAGCCCAAUGAACUUGUGGGUUUCACACAGGGAAGCUGGCUCUGGACCACUCCCCAACAGUAGGGUGAGCUUGGGCCUUGUUUCCAGUGGCAGUUGGCUUUGUGGGACCAGCAUCCAUUUCUGCAGCUUCAGCCCUGGGCCAUGUGAGUUCACAUUCUGUCUCUUGUCAGUGUCAAUGCUUAUUUUGUUCGUGAGUGUAGCUCUAGCUUUUCAACAUCUUAAAUAUAUCCCUAAAAUAGCUUUUUAAAACCACCUUAUCGUCACUUCAAUGAGUUUCACAAGACUAUUUUGAAAUUUGAUGAUCAAGUGUUGAUCUUUUCUUUCUCUUUGCAUUUUAGCUCCAUCACCAUCCUCUGAGCCCAUAAAAGCUGGCAGAAAACACUCCAAACAUCAGACAGCAUUAUCCUGCCUCAAAUACCCUUGCAUCUGUUUUCUUUACCUCCUACUUUUUCACCGGGCAUCUCAGACAUCAUCUUCUUUGAGCAAGAUGUCUAGGUUUUAUGCCUGUAUUAGUCUGCUUAAGCUGCCAUAACAAAAUAGCACAAACUGAGUGACUUAAAGAACAGAAAUUAAUUUUCUCACAGUUCUGGAGGUUGGAAGCCUGAGAUGAAUGCAGUAGCAGGUUUGGUUUCUCCCACACUCUCUCUCUCUGUGGCUUGCUGGUGGCUGCCUCCCUGCUGUCCUCACAUGGCGUUUUGCCUGUAUGCACACCCUCAGUGUCUCACCCUUGUCUUAUAAAGCUACUAGUCAAAUUGGAUUAGGGCCUACCCUUUUGACUUCAUUUAACUUUAUUUCUUCCAAAGAUUUUACCUCCAAAUACAGCAACAUUGAAAGUUAGGGCUUCAGCAUAUGAAUUUUAGGAGGACGCAAUUCAAACCAUAAAACUCCUACUAAAACCCUAUGUUAUAAUUGAACAGAAAUAAUGAGGCAAAUAGAUAUUCAUGCAUUUGGUUUUUCUCUUCUUGUAGUCAAUGGUCUUCACAACAAGAAUGAAGCAAUGUCUUUUGUGAUUUGAAGUUCAUAAGCACCAGCCCCUUGCAGAUAUGCUGCAAUGUUCAAUGAUCUCUGUGAUUGUGUGUUAUGAGUGUAUGGAAGUGGUGUCCAUUGAGGCUUAACUUCAAAUUAUUUUAGUAAGAUUAAAUGCUGGUUAUCAGUGAAAACAUCACAUUACCUUGGAGUAGAUGUUCAUUGAUAACUAGAUGUUAACCAGGACCCUUUGCGUAACCAGAUGUCAGCAAGCGCCUGUAGCAUUUACAGCAUAUGUUUACUGUUCUGCAUUGAGAAAGCCACGUUUUCCAAUAUUCCUCAUGAUUUCUGGGAAGAAGUCAAAAUCUCAAGCCCUCCCCCUUUGAGGCUCAAUGUUAGGGAGUGGAUUAAGGAGGAUCCUAUUGGGGAAAGAUGACAAGAGCGAACAAGGGAGUGAGUCCCUGAUGGCAGAUGCGCCGCGAAAGCAGAGAGAGAGGGACUGGCCAACCUGGCCCAACUAAGGACCUAGGUGGCCAAGAGAAGAUGUGGGUGAAGCUGACAAACCUGCUGUCUAGUCUCCAUGGGCAUGUCUUGGGAACAUGUGUGAGUGUAAGGGUGUCUCCAUGUGCAUGUGUGGGUAGGUAAGUCAAAGUAGCCAUCUACCUGAAUAAUUUAACACUGGGAGUCCAGGCAUAUUCCCCGGGGGAUCCACCAGUGCUGAGCAUCACUAAGCAGGUCAGGGAGCCCCUCCCUGUCUCGGGUCCUGAAUCACUGUUGCCAUGCACCCAGAACUUUCUACAUCUGACCAGGGCUUCCCAAACAGUGUCUAACAGCAGGAGAGGUGCUCAGAAGAGAGUGGCACCAUGGUAGAUGCUGGUGAAAGUAACUGUUCUGCCCUGGGGCCUGGGCCAGCCUUUGAAGAGUCUUUGGAUGAUCCAACCCCGGGUGUGUGGAGUAUGCUACCUGGGGAGGAAAAAAGGAGUAUGAACACAUGCUAUUUUUAAAUUUAAAUAUUAGAAGCAAUGAGACUUUUUUUGUACGCCAAGCUCAGGAGUUGCCACUACUAUUUUGAAGUCAAGGUAAUCAAGGCAAAAAUAUUUAUUUAUAAAAUCAAGGCAAAACACAUUUAUAGAUCAAAUGUGUUUAGUUAGCACCUAUUUUAUGCCAGAACCUGAAUUAGGCAGUGGGUACACAGAAUCAACAUGGCCUCCCCACAGGGAAUGCCCAGAUGGGCAAAGAAACACCUUAAUCAUCUGUGCUGAUGCCAUGUGACACAUGCAGUGUGAUGAUGCCUGCAGGGCUGGGAGGGACAGCUUUUUGCAGGAGUGGCCCAAGGGUGGUGACAGGGUUUUGAGAAGUAAAUAACAGCUUAUCAGGUAAAGAGAACAGCAGAAGAGGCUCCCUUUGGUCAGGUAUCAGCCAGGUGUCUUUAUUUUAGUUCUCUGAAAGGAAGUCUUUCAUUAAGUGGGUGGGACUCAGCCCAUCUGUGACCACCGAUGGUUCCAGGGGGACCUGGCAGUCACCACCCCAACAAAUGUAAAAUCUGCAGCUGGGGCAUCUGUAUGUUCAGUGAACUUCCGCAUUGGAACUCUCUAUCCUGUGCUCAGCAUGUUCCUCCACACAUGGGAACACUUCCCAUGAAUCUGGCCAAUCUGGAGGUGGUGCUGGAGAUUCAGAGACCUCCCCACACCAGCCUGGCAGGCCCCUCUGCCCAGAGUGGAAUGAACCCCAGGUGGAGCCCGAUCACUGGCUCCUGCCUCAUCUGCUUUUAAUCACCCCCUCUCCACAGUACAUCCCAUUAUGUUAACAAAACAUUUUUGCAAUUGCCCAGUGCUUGCUCCUGGGUCAGAGAGCUCACCUCUAUGAGUGAGGUUGGAAGGGUGACGCAUCCUUGCCUGGGCACAUUAGUAAAUCAAGAUUUUUCUAGGUCUGGGCGUGCUGCCCCGGUGCUGGCGAGCCCUGCAAGGGACCUGUGACUUCCAGAGCAAUCUGGUCUGUAUCAGUUGAGCACUCCCUGGGCCUCAGCUGGCCAGCAGGAUGCUCUGGCAGAGGUCUGUGUUCUAAUGAGGCUCUGUUUGUCUAAAGAUCACAUUUUGGUAUCCUUGGGGGAGGCUGCUAACAGAAUCAGGGAGCAUCCUGGAUCCUUCAUCCCACAGUUUCUUAAGUUGCUGUCAACAGGACUUUAGCAAAACCUGCUCUUCAAUUCUCCAAAUAAGUUACAGAAAGAGAAGCUUUCUGUGCCACAGCCACGUCAGCAACCAGGCAACCGCCCCAGGAAGCCCCUAUGUCCCUGGCUGAGGAGCGCUACUUGUAAGCCGGUGUUGUUUGAAGCCAGGAUCUUAGCAUUAGGAUGUGUUGGAAAGGGAGGCAUUCCAACACCACCUUCUUACUGUGGUGCUAGAGUGCCCUGGAGUUUUCCAAGAAGCAGGGGCAUUGGUAAGAAAAUGUGCAGGUGGCAGAUGACUGUCCUCUCCCCUGGGGGAGGUGAGGACAGGAUGCUGAGGGACCAGAGAGCACAAGGGGAAAUGUGUCCCUCAAUGGGCUCAGCUGACUGUCCUGGGAGUUUCUUGUGCUGAUCCCUCGCAUCCAGGCCCCCGCUGUGAACUGUGUUUUCCAAGGAUUGAAUAUACUUCCCUGGCAGAGGGACGAAGCAGGAAGUGGGUUCCGUUGGACAGGGUGCAGGCCAUGUUCCUUAACAUGGGCCAUGGCCCCUGGGGACCCAUGGAAGGCUCCUACCUCCCUCCAGUCAGACAAGCUGUGUAGAUGCACCUAUAUUUAUUAAGCUCGUUUUCUAUGACAGAUCACCAAUGGCUACUGAGCUUACAGCUCCUCCCAUGGAGUGCUGGAAUCUCUCUCAACCCCCUAGGAUCUGGGCUGGCCUGUGACUUGCUUUGGCUAAUGGGAUAGUAGCAAAAGUGGCACAAGCACCGACUCUCUUCCUCACUCGCUUUCCCCAUUGCUGCUCUUAGAGCCCUCCUGCCAUGCAAUUAAGUCUAGGGAAACUUCUGGACAAUGAAAGACAGGAAGCCCGGCCCCCUCCUCUUCUUCUUUCUCAGCCCUUCAAAUGUACUUUCAACAUCCCUAUCAAUCCACCAGUAUGACUCAGGGGUUAUGUUUUUGGUUUUGGUAGAAUGGAAAUGACUUCCCCAUGUAACAACUUAGGGUGUGUCUGUUAUCCCCACCAGACUACAUACUAGAUCCUCAAAGUAUGGAAUAUGUUCAUUUGUCUCUGUAGCUCAUGCUUACAGCAAAGGAGCUGACACGCAGUAGGUCUUCAAUAUACAUUUGUGGAACGAAGACAGGAUGGAGGGAGGAAGGGAAGGUGUGAGGAGGGAAGGUCCCCACCGGGACCCACACACAACAUUUUUAAUGUAAUAACUACAUAAACAGUGUUGUCAGGACUUCUUUAAUUUAACACAACUUCAUAAAAUCUCAGAUUGGGAAGAGACCUUGAUAUUCAUAGCUGCUUUUUCACAAUGACUUUUCUUUGCCUGACUCUCGACGGUAUUGUGAAGCAGUCAUACAAGGUCAUUUUCAUUCUUAUCUCACAGUGAGGAGAAUAGGGCAAAGGACUUAAAUGACUUGCCCAGCAUCGUGACACUGUUGUGUGUGGACGGCAGAACUCAAGCCAGGAUUUCAAACUUCAAACAUCCCCUACCAUCCUACCUGGGGGUCCUCAGGGUCAGUGCUUCCUAUGUGCCAGUUAUUGGAGUGACACCUUCAAAAGUUUUGCCAUUUCCACAUACCACUUGCCACUGUCAUUUUACUUACUUUAUUUUCUUUACACAGAUGCAUUUUAAUUUUGGUGUAUUUAUUAGAUUUUAGUUAAGCUUUUUUAUUUUGAGAUAGCUGCAGUUUCACAUGCAGUUGUAAGAAAUAAUACCUAGAGAUCCUUGUACCCCAGUUCCCCAAUGGUAACAACUUACCAAACUAUAGUACUAUUAGCACUAGGAUAUUGACAUUGAUACAGCCAAGAUACAUAACAUUCCAUCACCACAAAGUUUUUCCUAUUGUCCUUUUGUGGCCACACCCACUUCCCUACCACUCCCAGACCCCCCUUAUCCUUGGCAACACUAAUUUGCUCCCCAUUUCUGUAAGUUUGUCAUUUAAAGAAUGUCACAUAAAUAAAAUCUUUUGGUAUGUCUAAUAACCUUUUGAGAUUGGCUUUCUUCAUUCAUCAUCACUCUCUGGAGAUUCAUCCAGAUUGUCGCAUGUUAGACAUAAAAGUUAAAUAAACUUCCUUUUCAUUACUA
rnacentral:lncRNA from 1 species